rnacentral:rRNA from 1 species
GACGAACGCCGGCGGCGUGCCUAAUACAUGCAAGUCGAGCGGAUUUCACCUUCGGGUGAGGUUAGCGGCGGACGGGUGAGUAACACGUAGGCAACCUGCCUGUAAGACCGGGAUAACUAUCGGAAACGAUAGCUAAGAGCGGAUAGCUGGUUCUCUCGCAUGAGGGGAUCAUGAAACAUGGAGCAAUCUAUGUCUUACAGAUGGGACUGCGGCGCAUUAGCUAGUUGGUGAGGUAACGGCUCACCAAGGCGACGAUGCGUAGCCGACCUGAGAGGGUGAUCGGCCACACUGGGACUGAGACACGGCCCAGACUCCUACGGGAGGCAGCAGUAGGGAAUCUUCCGCAAUGGACGCAAGUCUGACGGAGCAACGCCGCGUGAGUGAUGAAGGUUUUCGGAUCGUAAAGCUCUGUUGCCAGGGAAGAACGCCCAGGAGAGUAACUGCUCUUGGGGUGACGGUACCUGAGAAGAAAGCCCCGGCUAACUACGUGCCAGCCGCCGCAGUAAAAC